GGCAACGUGGCUGAGUGGUUAAAGCGUAUGACUAGAAUUUAAUUAGCUACAUCAUAUCCCUUCGGGGUCGUAGGUUCAAGUCCUGCCGUUGUCG